rnacentral:tRNA from 3 species
GCGCUCAUAGCUCAAUUGGAUAGAGCAUCUGACUUCGGAUCAGAUGGUUGGGGGUUCGAGUCCUCCUGGGCGCACAA